rnacentral:rRNA from 1 species
UGGGGAAUAUUGCGCAAUGGGGGAAACCCUGACGCAGCAACGCCGCGUGAAGGAUGAAGGUCUUCGGAUUGUAAACUUUUGUCUUUAGGGAAGAUAAUGACGGUACCUAAGGAGGAAGCCACGGCUAACUACGUGCCAGCAGCCGCGGUAAUACGUAGGUGGCAAGCGUUGUCCGGAUUUACUGGGUGUAAAGGGUGCGUAGACGGGUAAAUAAGUCAGGUGUGAAAUGCCGAAGCUCAACUUCGGAACUGCACUUGAAACUGUUUAUCUUGAGUGUCGGAGAGGAAAGCGGAAUUCCUAGUGUAGCGGUGAAAUGCGUAGAUAUUAGGAGGAACACCAGUGGCGAAGGCGGCUUUCUGGACGAUAACUGACGUUGAGGCACGAAAGCGUGGGGAGCAAACA